AGUCCACUCCCAGCUCAGUACUGUCCAUAACCCUUACCUCCUGAAACAAAAUGGUGCCUGAUUCACCUCUAGGAGGUGGACUGGGCUAUGAAAUGCA